rnacentral:lncRNA from 1 species
AAAUAGUGAUGGUUGAUCCAAUGAAUCUGAAAAUUGACAUGCUUAAACUAGACAUCCUAAUUGACAUUUUGGUGUUGAGUUUGCAUUUUUAGAAUUUUUGGUUGUUGAGAUAUGAUCUGUUUAAUGUAGGUGUGACAAUGUGUGUCACACCAUUUCUUGUCCAACUUGCUGAUUUUCUUUCCCAUUCCAAUUAAAUGCCAAGUGAUGUGAUUUUUUGCAUGGUGCCUCUUCUGGAUGUUAGGAAUGAUCAUGGAGUUUUGUGGAAUUUUUAGAUCCAUUUUUG